CAAACGAGAAAAUGAGUGUGAAAUCCAACUAUUUUAUUGAGAAAAACGGGACAGCAAAGUGCAAACUUUGCAACAAUAAUAAAAACCAGCGGCAAUACCACCAACCUGGCUUCGCAUCUUAAAAACAAGCUUGCUGAUGUUUUCGCAAAAUGCGGACAAAAGAAGCUCUCAAUGAACUUUGAGAAAGUUAUGACGAUAACGGAGUCUUUAAGGAAAGUUGAGCAUUUUAAAGAUUUCUGAUGACGAACAAAUAAAUAACUUCAAGGAAAAUGACAGUGACGAAUCGGAGAACAAGGAGCUAAAACUUUAUUUUAGCUUGCCCAAAGCUGCGUGGGAAAGCAAUCCCCUGGAAAUAUGGAAAUCGCACAAAGCGACUAUGCCGGGCCUGUACAUGCUGGCCAUGAAGUAUUUAAUCACCCCGGAAAGUUCGGUGCCCUCAGAGCGGAUGGCGUCCGCCAUUAAAUGUGUGGUGUGUGACUCAAGGAGCAGGAUGACGGACGCACACAUUACCCAAAGAGUAUUCCUAAAAUCCCUAAAAACGGCAAACUGGUCUUAAGAACUAUUUAAUAAUACUGUUAUUUUUAAAAAGAAACUUA